UGUAGCAACUUUAUAAAGCCCAACACUGUAGCACGGGUACUGUAGCAGCCCGAAAAUACUUUUCUUCCCUUCUAAAAGUUUCAGCCCCUCUCUUCCAUUUCCCAUUCAUACUUGUUGGAAACCCUAGCCAUGUCCUUCUCCUCUUCUUGCCUUUAAUGGUUAAAGAUAGAUUAAUAGAAGUAGAGAAGAUGAGAAGAGAAGAUGGCAAGGUACUCGACUCUUAGGUUGUGCUUAAGACCUUGUUGAUCAGCCAGUGCUAGGAUGGAUCCAUUAGGGUUGUCGUUUUCUUGUAAAAAUUUUUAUAACCUGUAUUUAUACCUUGGAUUCUCGUAUCUGUGAGUCUGUGUUGUAUUUCUGUAC